rnacentral:rRNA from 1 species
GUGUAGGUUAAUAAUUUGUAUUAUAAAAAUCAUUUAAUUUGUUUUUGUAUUUGUUAAUGAUAUAAUUUUUUUUGUGAUAUAUUAUUUGUACUGUGAAGCUUGAUUGAAAUAAUAAUUAAUUUUUUAAUUAAGUUUAUUUUAUUUGUUGUACCUUGUGUAUCAGGGUUAAUUAAUUAUUUUUUAUUAAUUUUAUUAUUCUCGAUUUUAUAAGAGUUAAUUUAUUAUUUUAGUUAUUGUUUUAUAAAUAUUAAUAAUUAUAAAUUGGUAAUGAAAUGUUAAUCGUUUAUGAGGRUAUCUGGUUUUUUAGGAAAUAAAUUUAAUUUACAUUUUUUCUUUAAUUUUUUUUUUAAUAAUUUAUUUUUAGUUUAAAUGAUUAAUUAGGGGGAUAAGCUCUUUUUUAAAUUUCUAUGAUAUUUAAAUUUUUUUAAUUCGUGUGGAUUUAAUAAUGAUUAUCAUUAUAAGUAUAUUAAAAUUUUAUUUGUUUUUUGUUUGAUUUUAAUGGUUUCUAGUUUUGUACUAAAAAUUUUUAAUAAAUUUUUWUUUAAUUUUAAUUAUGAUUAAAUUAGUAUAUAAAUAUAAUAUUAAAUAUUUUUAAUAUAAUUGGGUUUGAGGAAUUAGGCAAGGAUUUAUUCGCCUGUUUAACAAAAACAUCUCUUCUUUAUUUAAAUAUGAAGUAUAACCUGCUCAAUGAGUAUUUAAAUAGCCGCGGUAUACUGACCGUGCAAAGGUAGCAUAAUCAUUAGUCUUUUAAUUGUAGGCUGGAAUGAAUGGUUGGACGAGAUAAAAUCUUUCUUAAAUUUAUUGAUUUGAAUUUAAUUAUUGUGUUAAAAAGCUCAAAUUUUUUUUUGGGACGAGAAGACCCUAUAGAGUUUUAUAAUUAAUAUUAUUUUUUUUAUUUGUUGUUUUGUAAAAUAGAAUUAAUUAUUUUGUUGGGGUGAUGUGAAGAUAUAAUUAACUCUUUUUAUUUAUUACUUAUGAAUUAAUAUUUUUUUGAUCCAUUUUUAUUGAUUAAAAGACUAAAUUACCUUAGGGAUAACAGCGUAAUCUUUUUUGAGAGUUCUUAUCGACAAAUAAAGGGUUGCGACCUCGAUGUUGGAUUAAGAUUAUUCUUGGGUGUAAAAGCUUAAGAUUUAGGUCUGUUCGACCUUUAAAUUCUUACAUGAUCUGAGUUCAAACCGGUGUAAGCCAGGUUGGUUUCUAUCUAUUAAUAAAUUUAAUAUUUUAGUACGAAAGGACCAAAUAUUGAAAAUAAUUUUUUUUUGUGAAUAAUAAUAAUAUUUAAUAACUAUUUUGGCAGAUAAGUGCAG